rnacentral:rRNA from 1 species
UACGUAGGUGGCAAGCGUUGUCCGGAUUUACUGGGCGUAAAGGGCGCGUAGGCGGCCUCCGCAAGUCAAUUGUGAAAUCUCCGGGCUUAACUCGGAAAGGUCAACUGAUACUGCGGGGCUAGAGUGCGGAAGGGGCAACUGGAAUUCUUGGUGUAGCGGUGAAAUGCGUAGAUAUCUGGAGGAACACCGGUGGCGAAGGCGGCAUCCUGGACCAAUAUUGACGCUGAGGAGCGAAAGCCAGGGGAGCAAACGGG